rnacentral:rRNA from 1 species
CCUACGGGUGGCAGCAGUGAGGAAUAUUGGUCAAUGGGCGGGAGCCUGAACCAGCCAAGCCGCGUGAGGGAAGAAGGUACAGCGUAUCGUAAACCUCUUUUGUCAGGGAACAAAGGCGGGGACUAGUCCCCGGAUUAGUGGACCUGAAGAAAAAGCAUCGACUAACUCCGUGCCAGCAGCCGCGGUAAUCCGGGGGAUGCGAGCGUUAUCGGGAUUUAGUGGGUUUAAAGGAUGCGCAGGCGGCCUGUUAAGUCAGCGGUAAAAGCCCGGGGCUCAACCCCGGCGAGCCGUUGAAACUGGCGAGCUUGAGUUGGAGAGAAGUACGCGGAAUGCGCGGUGUAGCGGUGAAAUGCUUAGAUAUCGCGCAGAACCCCGAUUGCGAAGGCAGCGUACCGGCUCCACACUGACGCUGAGGCACGAAAGCGUGGGUAUCGAACAGGAUUAGAUACCCUGGUAGUC